CGGACACGCUGGCGGCGUGCCUAACACAUGCAAGUCGAACGGUCCGGCACUCAACCGACCCUCAGUCUAGCUGUAGGUGAAGUUGAGUGCCGGAUAGUGGCGGACGGGUGAGUAACGCGUGGGCAACCAACCCUGUACAGUGGGAUAACACCGGGAAACCGGUGCUAAUACCGCAUGACACCUAGAUGGUGCAUACUGUUUAGGUUAAAGGAUUUAACCGGUACAGGACGGGCCCGCGUCCCAUUAGCUGGUUGGUGAGGUAACGGCUCACCAAGGCGACGAUGGGUAGCCGACCUGAGAGGGUGACCGGCCACACUGGGACUGAGACACGGCCCAGACUCCUACGGGAGGCAGCAGUGGGGAAUAUUGCGCAAUGGACGGAAGUCUGACGCAGCGACGCCGCGUGAGCGACGAAGGCCUUCGGGUCGUAAAGCUCUGUUCUUGGGGACGAAUAAAAUGACGGUACCCAAGGAGAAAGCCCCGGCUAACUACGUG
rnacentral:rRNA from 1 species